GACCUACAAAAAAAAAUGCUAGCAAAAAAAUGAGAAUAGCUACUAAAACCAAAAAAAGGCUUCAUAGCAUCUAUAUUGCCAGAAAAAACAUAAUCCUUGAGUGAUAUAACAGCUAGCAGGCUUCUAAAAAAAUAAAAAUAAAAAAAUGGUCGUGAAUCGAAUUGAGAUAUGGACAAUUUAACAUAGGAACUACCUGUUGUUCUCUGCCCUACACAUGUCAUAUUUUGUUAUUUUCUAUAAAUUGCUCCACAAAUUUUAGAACACAAAAACAAAAAGUUAUGAUGGUAGGACACCAAGAUUGCAUUUUUUUUUAAAAAAAAAGUAUAACCUAAAACGAAACAAUAUUAUAGCCUAAUGAACAUAGUUAAAAUGCCUAUUUCGAAAAAAAAGAAGAGGAUUAAGUGGACGAUCAAUUACCAAUUGAGAACGGUCUAGGUGGUGGAGGCUUCUUUGGAAAGCACAAUUAAUCUCCCCAUUAUCCAGAAUCCCAUCUUGUAGAAAAGACUGUAAAAAAAGAGAAUUAAAAAAAUAAUGUUAGAAAAAAAGUGCUUGUUUGAAAAAAAUAAGCAUACAAACUAAGAAACAUCAGUAAAAGUAAAAAGAAAAGGGGGGAUUCUCACAGCUAUUCUUAGUGGGAGUAUUUGUUUUACAGGGAUCUUGGCCUUUCUGUCUUUUAAUGCAUAUAUAGCAAUUUCAGCUACUGUGUUGAAUAAUUUUCCACCUGGUUUAACUGAUUCAGAAAGGUGCUUCAAGCUCACAUAGUAAUCUGGAUAACUGAUUAUGAUCUCGCUGCGUACAACAUAGAUGGGUCAUAGUUAAAAAAACAAAAAUACAAAAUGAAUUCGAGAGUUUAACAGGCGGAAAUGCCAGUCAAAAAAGAAAAAGUUGCACAUACUCUCCUUGGCUUGAGCUUUGACUCGAACUCCUGGUUGACCUUCUAGUGGCCGAGCAUACCACAUCAUAUGCACGACUUGCAACCUUGCUGCACUUCAAGCCGUUUCUGGCAUAAUCAAUAUAUGGGGACUGCAAAGCACGCCCUGGUCGUGCUGGCCUCCUAGGCGGAGGUUGAUACGCAGGUGUGUGUGAAGUGCUGGGAGCAGAUUGUAGACCAUAGGUUGUAGCUGAUGUUGUCUUUUCAACUCUUGUUGGCUUCCUUUCUGAAUGUUCAAUUGGGUUAUCUGUAGGUACAGGAGUUUGCUUAACUGCACUGCUAGAAAGUAACUUAUCUGUCCUAUUCCUUUCUAUAUCUUCAAUUUGGGCAUCAAGUUCUUUAAAUUGUUCUUCACUUAAAUUGUCCCAAAAAUAAUCAUCAUCAUAUUUCCUUGCGUUCCUUUCUGAAUUACAUUCACUUGGCUUUGAUGGUGGACGUUCACGGGGUGUGGGAAAAUCAAUGAAUCUCAUAAUGUCCAUUGGUGGGGGAUCAAAAUCCCAUUUAGAGUGCUUUUCUGAUUUUUCUUUGUUUUCCACAACACUAGCAGAAGGAGGGAGCCUUUAGCCAUGAAAAAAGAACAAAAAAUUAGUGUUAGUACUGUUGUGUUACUAGAAAAAAACUUGAUUUAAAAACAAUGACAAAAAAAUGCUAUCUAUUCAUAGUUGCAAUACUAUCUCUCCAUAGUCGAGCAAUUUUAUUCAAAUGACAUAACAAAGGAGUGAUACUAGUGUAGGUGACCAUUUAACACAUAAACACAACUGACCCAUAAAGUAUGAAAAAAUAGACAAAAAAAAAUAUAAUUUCUACCAAAUUACAAAUAACUUGCCUCACUAAUAAAUAUUAAGUUGCUUAACACAAAAAAAUAUAUCCCAUUUACCUCAGCCUUUCCCUUCUUGAUUGAGAAGGAACAACUUCUAGUGGUGUUGGUUCUGAUUCCCUUGAAUCACCAGCCGGUGCAUCAACUUUAGUGUGCUUUUUUGAUUUUUCAUUCUUUUCCACAACACUAGCAGGAGGAGGGAGCCUUUAGCCAUGAAAAAAAACAAAAAAAAGGGCUUAGUACUGUUAUGUUACUAGAAAAAAACUUGAUUUAAAAACAAGGACAAAAAAUGCUAUCUGCUCAUAGUUGCAAAUACUAUCUCUCCAUAGUCGAUCAACUCAUUGAAGUGACAUAACAAAAAGAUUGAUACUAGUAUAGGUGACCAUUUAACACAGAAACGCGGCUGCCCCAUAAGUAUAAAAAUAGACACACAAAAAAAAUUGCUACCAAAUUACAAAUAACUUGCCUCACUACUAAUAUUAACUUGCUUAAUAACUAAAAUUGCACGCAUAUUUUAAAAGUGGUUCUCUACUACUCAUAAACACUUAGAAACACAUGCACCAAAAUGCAUUGUUUUAGGAUUCAUCUAGCCUGUUGCACACUCCAGCUUUCCUGCAACAGAAAAAAGUUGGCAAAAAUAAAUCAACUUUGGUGUCAACUUUACUAUAACAACAUGGCAGAAAAAAGCGUGUGGAGCUAGAAAAAUGUAAUUUUUUGUGUGGGGUGGGGUAGGAAGCAGAGGUGCAAAUAUUUAUUCAAAAAAAUUACUGAAAAAAUCAAUCCAAUAGAAACUGUAACAUACUUAACACAAAAAAAAUAUAUCUCAUUUACCUCAGCCUUUCCCUUCUUGAUUGAGAAGGAACAACUUCUAGUGGUGUUGGUUCUGUUUCCCUUGAAUCACCAGCCGGUGGAUCAACUUUGUUGGUUGCAUCAUCCUCACCAGAGACACCCUCAUCCUCUAGCUCCACUUCUUUGGCCACCUCCUCAUCCUCUAGCUCCACUUCUUUGUCCACCUCCUCAUCUUCCUCGUCCUCGUCCUCAUCCUCGUCCUCCAUCCAAUCCUCCUCCUCCUCCUCCUCAUCCUCCUCGUCCUCCUCGAUCUCUUCAUCUUCAUCAACAUCCUGCUUGUGAGUAUUGGUAGUUCUUUUCCGUGUUGAUCUUCUGGGCUCCUCAUCCCCUUUGUCUUCAUUUGUGUUCUUUUGAUUAGGAUUGGUAGUUCUUCUCCGUCUAGCUGUUCUGGUCUCCUCUUGCUCCUCAGAAUCAUCACUAAUUGUGGACACCUCACUUAUAAAUGUUCCUAUCACUUCAGUGAAACCGAUACAAGCUUUCUUGACAAUUUCAGACAACUUCCUUUUCUUCUGUAAUUAAAAAAAGUGUAAAAAAUGUUAGCUCAUAAGUGAUAUGUAUCCCUUAAUAUUGUAACAUCUAUUUCAGCUGAUAUGUAUGCCUAUUUUCAAGAAAACUAUGUAGUUUCUGAAGCAAAAAAGACCCUGGAAAAAAAGGUAAUCUAUAUAAAAACAAAGUGCUCACACGUCUUUAUAUGGGUUUCUACACUUCCUUUUCAAGAACACAUAGACAACUCAUUCGCUGUCACUUGCUUUUGGAAGGUGCUAUCUAUAACAAUUGAUUCCAGGAUUCAGCUGCGCCCAACAGAGCAUACCUUUGGCAGUUUAAUCACUGCCACAUCUCUGUCAUCAGGCAGCUCGGCUGUGCUUGACCAAGUAUUCGUGAGUGUGCUGAAAUCUGGCUGUUCUAGUGACCUCUAUGUGGGAAGUGCUCUGGUUAGCGCUUUUGCGAGACAUGGCUUGAUUGAUGAAGCUAAGGACAUCUUUCUCAGUUUCAAAAAAGAAAAAGAAUGCAGUCACCUUAAACGGAUUGAUAGUUGGCUUGGUCAAGCAACACUGCAGUGUAAGAAGCAGUAAAAAGUUUUUUGUGGGAACAAGGAAUACUAUUGUUGUAUGUUGUGUUGCUCAGUGCCAUAGCUGAAUAUUCUAUACCUGAAAGAAGGUUUGAGGAUCAACAAACUUCUAGUGGUGUUGGUUCUGUUUCCCUUGAAUCACCGGCCGGUGGAUCAACUUUGUUGGUUGCAUCAUCCUCACCAGAGACACCCUCAUCCUCUAGCUCCACUUCUUUGGCCACCUCCUCAUCCUCUAGCUCCACUUCUUUGUCCACCUCCUCAUCUUCCUCGUCCUCGUCCUCAUCCUCGUCCUCCUUCCAAUCCUCCUCCUCCUCCUCCUCAUCCUCCUCGUCCUCCUCGAUCUCUUCAUCUUCAUCAACAUCCUCUUCUAUUCCUCCAGUCGACUCAAAGGAGCGAGGGGUUCAAUGCUUUGUUGAAGAAGUAUGUCAACCCAAACUUGUCAGUGCUACAGUUUGUGAGGCAGUACCAGAAAAUACAAGAAAAGUGUCUGGUUGCACAGGAUGGGCAAGACUUCAGGACCGAUGAGAAUGAGCGAAGACGAUGGUCAAGGCAUCCACUUGAGAAGCAUGCUUCCACUGUAUACACAAAGAAUAUGUUUUACAGGUUCUCCAAAGAGUUUGAGAAAACUGCAGAAUAUGAUGUGAAGCCUGUAGGGCAGUUCCAAUAUUGGUUGGAGCCCAAUAAUAGCUUUGUUUUUGGGUAUGGAAAAAGGAACUAUCUUGUUACAGCAAUAGAAGAGGAUGAAAGCUAUUGCUGCGAGUGCAGCAAGUUUGAUAGGGAUGGAAUCAUUUGCUGCCACAUUAUGAGAGUUAUGGUCAGAAUGGGUGUGAAAUUAAUACCAGAAAGGUACAUCCUUAAAAGGUGGACGCAACAAGCAAUUGCUAGUGAUACUAACCAGGUCCAAAAUGUGAAUGCACCAGUGGGACUUGUGGCCCGUGGGAUGCCAUUGACUAGUGAGAAAACUUUGAGAUUUACCAACGCAACCACCGCGUUUGCAGCAAUAGCAGUGGAAGGUUGUACAAAUGAUGAAAACUAUGCUAUUUUGGAGAAGCACAUCAAGGAGAUGCGAUCUGAAUUUGAAGAAAUUAAGAAAAGGACGAUGGCAAAUAGGCAAAACACUAGUGGUGCAGAAGGUGGUGCUACAGAAGGUGCACAAAAUGGUACAGGUGUCUCUACUCUAACUGGACCUUCAUUGCAAACUGCAAGUUUAAAAAACUAGACACUAUAUUCUGCUUUGCUUCAUUUUUGUAUGUCUGUACUAUAUUGAUUAGUUGCUUGUUGCAUUUCACAUUGUAGGUGCAGUGGCUGGUCCAAAUACAUCAAGUGUAGCGAACCCCCCAAAAUCAAAAGCUAAAGGGCGCAGGAAGGAGAAGGCACACAAAAAAGGGAUGAAUGGUCAAGCGAAGAGGAAGAAUAAGUGCAGCAUUUGCAAAUCAUAUGAUCACAAUGCACAGAGAUGCCCGGACAAACUCAAAAAAAAAAUAAAAACAGUUUCUUAGUGGGAAUACAUACCUAGCAAAUAUUCAUUUUACAUCUCCAUGCAAUAUUGUUUUCCGGAUGUUGGAGCCAUUUGUAUGUGAGCAUCUUUCGAAUAGUUGGCAUAUCUUUUUCCUUAAACUCUGGCAUGUUAAUACCAUUCCAGUGUUCACAGUGCAUUAGCAUGUGGAACCCGCAGUCAUGACUGCAAAAAAAAAGUCAUAAUCAUAUGGAGGAUGACAGAAACUUUAGAUAUGAAAAUAAAUAUGUAUGUUGAACUGUUGACCUACUUGUUUGACUGCAAUGGAACAUUAAUAUCAAUCAGUUGGUACUUGUCAAUAUUCUUCCUUGAAUUAGGGUAAUGUUUGCGCCAAAGUUCCUUAAUUGCAGUGAUCAAAUUGUUGCAGCAUGUCUUCAAGUUAAUGUCAGCGAGAGACCUCAUAGAAUCGAGAACUUCAAACCUUUCUUCCCUUAGGUUCAAGACUAGAAGGAAGAAGUGGCCCACUGUUCUAUCAAGCCUUUUGAAACGAAUAUUUUGCAAUACAGGAAACAUGACCUACAAAAAAAAAUGCUAGCAAAAAAAUGAGAAUAGCUACUAAAACCAAAAAAAAGGCUUCAUAGCAUCUAUAUUGCCAGAAAAAACAUAAUCCUUGAGUGAUAUAACAGCUAGCAGGCUUCUAAAAAAAUAAAAAUAAAAAAAUGGUCGUGAAUCGAAUUGAGAUAUGGACAAUUUAACAUAGGAACUACCUGUUGUUCUCUGCCCUACACAUGUCAUAUUUUGUUAUUUUCUAUAAAUUGCUCCACAAAUUUUAGAACACAAAAACAAAAAGUUAUGAUGGUAGGACACCAAGAUUGCAUAUUUUUUUUUAAAAAAAAAGUAUAACCUAAAACGAAACAAUAUUAUAGCCUAAUGAACAUAGUUAAAAUGCCUAUUUCGAAAAAAAAGAAGAGGAUUAAGUGGACGAUCAAUUACCAAUUGAGAACGGUCUAGGUGAUGGAGGCUUCUUUGGAAAGCACAAUUAAUCUCCCCAUUAUCCAGAAUCCCAUCUUGUAGAAAAGACUGUAAAAAAAGAGAAUUAAAAAAAUAAUGUUAGAAAAAAAGUGCUUGUUUGAAAAAAAUAAGCAUACAAACUAAGAAACAUCAGUAAAAGUAAAAAGAAAAGGGGGG
rnacentral:lncRNA from 1 species